UAUUUUCCUUUUUUUCCCUCAGCCGCGGUAAUACGUAGGUCCCGAGCGUUGUCCGGAUUUAUUGGGCGUAAAGCGAGCGCAGGCGGUUUGAUAAGUCUGAAGUUAAAGGCUGUGGCUCAACCAUAGUUCGCUUUGGAAACUGUCAAACUUGAGUGCAGAAGGGGAGAGUGGAAUUCCAUGUGUAGCGGUGAAAUGCGUAGAUAUAUGGAGGAACACCGGUGGCGAAAGCGGCUCUCUGGUCUGUAACUGACGCUGAGGCUCGAAAGCGUGGGGAGCGAACAGG
rnacentral:rRNA from 1 species